rnacentral:rRNA from 1 species
UGGGGAAUAUUGGACAAUGGGCGCAAGCCUGAUCCAGCAAUGCCGCGUGUGUGAAGAAGGCCUUCGGGUUGUAAAGCACUUUUAUCAGGAACGAAAAGCGUGGGGUUAAUACCUUUACGUGCUGACGGUACCUGAGGAAUAAGCACCGGCUAACUACGUGCCAGCAGCCGCGGUAAUACGUAGGGUGCAAGCGUUAAUCGGAAUUACUGGGCGUAAAGCGUGCGCAGGCGGUUGCGUAAGUCAGAUGUGAAAUCCCCGGGCUCAACCUGGGAAUUGCAUUUGAGACUGCACGGCUAGAGUGUGUCAGAGGGGGGUAGAAUUCCACGUGUAGCAGUGAAAUGCGUAGAUAUGUGGAGGAAUACCGAUGGCGAAGGCAGCCCCCUGGGAUAACACUGACGCUCAUGCACGAAAGCGUGGGGAGCAAACAGGAUUAGAUACCCCCGUAGUCCCUGAGCGGGCUGGCAAGGCGCAU